UCAGCUACCCUACCCCACUCUCAGCUUCCUGGCUUUUAUCUUUGCUACUCUCUCUCUUUCCCAUCCUCUGUUUAUUAGUCCUCCACUCCAGGGAGGAGCCCAAGCAUUUGGCACUGCUGAUACUCAAAGCUUUCCAAAACAGUAUCAAAGUGAAAAUGACUUGAUUCUAGUCACUUUCACAGAAGCCCACAGGGACCUGAAUAGCAGAAUCACUCUGCUACAGCUUCACAAACCUCCGAGCAGCAGCCAAGGCACUGGAAUUGAUUGAAGACAAAGGAUCAGCUCAGACCAUGUGGAAGUACAAAGGAACUAGAGAGGCAGUUGGUUUGCUCUGCCACUUACAUACUUGGCACAGACCACAAGAAGAGCAAGGGUGCAGGUACAGACCAACAGAUACAGCUAGCAAGAAUCUUCUGGUCUUAGGUGCAUGGAGAACCUGGGUACCACUGGUGGAAUACAUAGGGACCAGCGCUUGAAGAAGAAAGUGGUUUUUUUCCAGAGCCCACAAAGUCACUGCAAUGUACCUACUGAGCUUUCCAGAUCUGAUUGUGAAAUAAAAGCCAGAAGUGUGCCAGUUCUUUUCAGGGUGACUGACAAUAUAUUUCAAAAACUCAAUUUAAUCAUUUUACCAAGGUGACCUAGAAGAACGAAAAACAGAAUGGGUUUUGAAGAGAGCAAAUACAUUACAAGCAGUUGCUGGGGGAAAAUUAAGCUACCACAUGUGAAACGAAGGAUCAACAAGAAAAAUUAAACAACAACAUGGAAAGGAUCAACCACCCACAAGAUUGAGGUCCUAUAUUUUGUCAUACAACUGAAUAAAAUCAAGAUAUAUAGGAGAUACAGUAGAUGUGUGAUGGAGCAUUUUAUAAGGUGAGAAAGAAUUAGGCUAAAAAGUGGUCCCUAAACACUAAAUCACACACUGAUGGGAGAGAAGAAAAAAAUUGGGAUGAGAAAGUGAAAAAAAUAUAAUGCUUAUGAAUAAGAGGAAUUGACAAGUUGUGUAAAACUGAAAGAAUCCAGGGACAAAGAAAACUAAAAGGGAUCCAAAUUAUUAUUAAUAUGGAUAAUAAAAAAAAAUCACAACUAUAAUAUCACAGGAAGAAAAGUCUGCUCAUACACAAAGGUUAUAUAAAUGGAUAAUGUAAACGGUAAUUUAAGUUGGCUGGGUGAAACAUACUGAACCGUGAGCCAGUCAAA